GUGCUCACUUCACAGCACAUAUACUAAAACUGGAGCAAGACUGAGAAGAUUAGCAUGGUCCCUGGGCAAAGAGGACGUGCAUGUUCAUGAAUUGUUCCAUACUUGU
ensembl:snRNA U6 U6 spliceosomal RNA